CUAUGUCCUUAAUUAAUCCUGAGAUGACUUGGUGGGAAUUUCAUCUUCCUUCCUGACACAAGUAAUCUGGCAACUGUUUUCUUACAUGACAUGACAUUUGGCAAUAAAGGCUUACGCAUCAAUUCUGAAAUGGAUGCUGAAGCAGAUAUGAGCAUGGAACCGAGGUGAUUAAACCUGAUAAUCCAAAGGGAAAAUGUGGAUCCUGUUAUGGAAUAUGUAAAAGAAAAGGAAAAAAAGAAGAGAAAAGAGAGGAAAGAUGGGUCUACUUG
rnacentral:lncRNA from 1 species